UGAUGAAGGACUUAUAGAGGCAGUAAGAUCAUUUUCCUGCUUGUGACAAACGGGCUCCAAGGAGUCUAAAGAUAUCAAGGCUAAAGAAAAUGCAUGGAAAAAAGUUGCUACAAAGGUUAGUUUAAUUUUGUUACAAGUAAUUAUUAAAAAUGCUAGAUAAGUGGGAAAGAUGACGAUGAAUCUCGAAAAGAUUGCAUAUGAAGGUGGAAGAACAUCAGAGACAGAUUUGUGAGAGUUCAAAAAAACCAAAAGACCCACUGGUACAGAAGGUCCGCCUUACAAGCCUAAUUGGAGUCUAUUUGAAUCACUUACGUUUGUUCAAGAUGUUGUACGCCAUCGACAAACUGUCAGUAAUGUUACUUUAGCCAAACCAGCAGAGCCAGAUCUUUCUGUAGCUGAAGUUGAGAAUAAUGAGUCUGCUCAAUUAACACUUGAUGACUCAGCAAACUCACAAGGUGUCUUAAUUUCCCCUCC